rnacentral:rRNA from 1 species
AUUGAACGCUGGCGGCAUGCCUUACACAUGCAAGUCGAACGGUAACGGGCCUUCGGUUGCCGAUUCGCUGCCAAGGGGCGGGUAAUACAUCGAAACGUGCCCGAUCGCGGGGGAGAACGGGGCGACAGCUUGGCUCAUAACCCAUACCAGCUACGCGUGACAGCAGGGGACCGCGAGACCUUGCGCCGACUGGCCGGCCGAUGGCAGAUUAGGUAGUUGGUGGGAUAAAAGCUUACCAAGCCGACGAUCCGUAGCUGGUCUGAGAGGAUGAUCAGCCACACUGGGACUGAGACACGGCCCAGACUCCUACGGGAGGCAGCAGUGGGGAAUAUUGGACAAUGGGCGCAAGCCUGAUCCAGCCAUGCCGCGUGCAGGAUGAAGGCCUUCGGGUUGUAAACUGCUUUUGUCCGGAACGAAAAGCGUUCUUUUAAUACAGGAGCGUCAUGACGGUACCGGAAGAAUAAGCACCGGCUAACUACGUG